CAAAAACCUGAGAAAAACCAAAUAAUUUUGUGGCUGUACUAUUUUCCGAGUCAUUGCUAAUAGAUCACACAGUGACAAAGGAUUCAUUUCGCACUUCCUACGGCUUCCACUAGAUGUCAACGAUCUUUAUAAAGUUGUUUGAAGCGUCUAUGAUGAACAGAGACCGGAUGACAAGGAAGAGAAGUUGACCUCCCUGGGAUGUCUUCACUUCAUUAUUGCACGCACCUGCGCAUUCAUGUGAGUUCAUGUGAGGCGAGACAUUUUUCAAAAACGUUUUUCAAGACACAGGAGAGGUCGGGUUGAAACAUUACUGAUGUUUCACGUUAAAAAUGGCUCUAAAGAUUGAUGCUAAACAACGUUUGACAUGUUUGAACGAACGUAAAUAGAUUAUUUUUUUAACUUUUCGUCGUGACUUUCCCCCCCCCGCCCUACUUUUGAGGAGCCUACCGAAGCCUAACAACAAUGAACAACUUGGAGUUAUUUGGACAUAAAUUAUGAACUUUGUCGAAAGAAACCACAUUUGUUGUGGACCUGGGUUUCCUGGAAGUGCCAAUGGAUGAAGAUAAUCAAAGGAGUGUCAUCUGAGGAAGAUUGUCAAAGGUGUCAUGACGUUGGCCUCUCCCUUUUGCACACAAUCCACCCUGUGUCUAAAGGGUAGAAAAACUCUAAAAUUCCAGGAAAGUCUCUGGCCACAUGGCCCAUAGAGAGACAAAGGAAAUUCUUCCAACUCAUAGAAUUGAAGAAUCCAGCUACGAACUGAUCCGCUGGUACCAUUUUGUCAUACUCAGAAGAGACAAUAUAGCCAUAUUACCAUAAAACUGUUUAUAUAAUAGACUCAGUUUAAGACUUGCCUCAUAUGGGUGUAUGGAAUGUAUUGAUAAGGAUAAAGCUUUUGUAAGACAUUGAGAUGCUAUGUACUGAUGUAAUGUGAUAGAAUUGUAUUUCUGUAACCAAAUCUAACUCAGUCAUAGGCACGCCCCAGGGACAUAUACAGGACCAGGCGUCAUUUGACCAGCCUGUUCGAUGGGCACUAUAAAACACUCCCUGAUUUACAUUUCCUCAAACCAGGCCUACACUCUACGGCCAGAGGUUUGACCAUCCAAGUACUCUACUGAAAGUGAACCAUACCACGUGGUUAACUUUUAGACUAUUGAUACCGACAGAAUAAGAACAAGUCUUUGAUAUUAAUUAUUAGUCUGCAGCUAAGUAAAUUAUAUCAUCGAACGCGAAGACCAACGAAACCACCAUUCUAUGACGACAUUAAUGAAUGUCGCUCUGACACUUCCAUUCUAACCGAGAGAGAGAGAGAGAGAGAGAAUGCGGACAAAACUCUCCAACAGAACCGAACUCUCCAACAAAGAACGACGACACACUGAGCGUAAAUAUAUAUUGAUUGCAAUUGUUCCCGAAUGAGUGAGCCUUCAAUUGUCAAUUGUAAUAUUAAUGAACUCUGUGUAAACUUCUCAGCUGACCAUUUAUGACCCAUUGUUCAACAGGCCGACCAGCCUGUUUAGCCCACAAGGGCACAUUCCGAUACCAAUCCUUUGUUGACGAUAAUUACUGUUUGUAUGUUUUUCUGUUAAUUACUUAGUGUAGUAAAUAAAUGAUUUUAAGACAAUUGAUGUAUGGAUGAUUUUAGUAAAGACUGGGUUCGUGCAGAUACAACAAUUUACGACGUUUGGAAUGAGACUAAAUACGAGGUAAAAUACACCAUUGAAACUAGAAGAUAAUCGGCCUAUACUAUAAUAGAAUAUAAUAUUAUAGUACAGGAAAGUUAUAUUAGGAAAAUUAUAGCUUUGUAAUCUGAAUAUUCUCCUUGGUGCCCCGACCUCCUAGUUAAUUACAAUUAAACGAUUAAUCAGUUUAAUCGCGUGAUAAUAAUUACAGGGAGCUAAUUGAUAAACAUAUCUUCCGUUUAAUGGUACCCCCAAAGACACGACAAAGGUUAGUGCAUAAUUUUAGCUGGUUAUCUGCUUUUGGUGACGCCUGUCUUAGAAUUGACAAAACAUUACACACAGCUAUUUUCAAUGUACUCUCCUAACAUAACCUAACUUUAUGCUUUCGCCGUAAAGCCUCUUUGAAAUCGGACAAUGUGAUUGGAUUUAGGAGAUGUUUAUCUUUCAAAUGGUGAAAAAUAGUUGAUUGUUUGAGAAAUUGAAAUUAUUCUUGUAGUUUUUGAAUUUCCCGCCAUGGUCUCUUGACAAUAAAUCCCAAUACCGGGAUAAGAUCCCCAAGAGGUUUUAACUGACCCUCUCUGCCGAUUCAUCGCCAUUUUACCUGUUGCUGUUGUCUUAGCUGAUUAGCUGUUGUUGUCUUACCUGUUGUUGUCUUAGCUAGCUCUCCCAAUCAACAACAGUGAUUGCUUUAUGCCUCGCUUUAUGUCUCUCUCAAAUGUCAAUACGCCAUGUAUACUGUUGUUUAGGAUAGUUAUCAUUGUUUUAGUUUACUGCGGAGCCCCAGGUCCCACUCAACAUGCCUCAGAUACCUCCUUUGUCCCACCUCCCACACAUGCGGUGACCUCAUCCAGCAUUACUAGCGCGUCCAGAGAUGCAACCUCUCUUAUCAUCACUCAGUGCCUAUGUUUACCUCCGCUGUGCCCGCACCCCACCAUACCCCUGUCUGUACAUUAUGCCCUGAAUUUAUUCUACCACGCCCAGAAAUCUGCUCCUUUUAUUCUCUGUCCCCAACGCACUAGACGACCAGUUUUGACAGCCUUUAGCCGUACCCUCAUCCUACUCCUCCUCUGUUCCCCGGGUGAUGUGGAGGUUAACCCAGGCCCUGCGUGUCCCCACCACACUCAUUUGUUGACGAAAAAGCCUUGGUUUCAUGCAUGUUAACAUCAGAAGCCUCCUACCUAAGUUUGUUUUACUCACUGCUUUAGCACACUCUGCCAACCCUGAUGUCCUUGCCGUGUCCGAAUCCUGGUUUAGGAAGGCCACCAAAAAUUCAGAGAUUUCCAUUCCCAACUACAACAUUUUCCAUCAAGAUAGAACUGCCAAAGGGGGAGGAGUUAGCCUGCAAAGUUCUGUCAUACUUUCCAGGUCUAUGCCCAGACAGUUCUAGCUUCUAAUUUUAAAAAUUAAUCUCUCCAGAAAUAAGUCUCUCACUGUUGAUGCCUGUAAUAGACCCCCAUCAGCUCCCAGCUGUGCCCUGGACACCAUAUGUGAAUUGAUUGCCCCCCCAUCUAUCUUCAGAGUUCAUUCUGUUGGGUGACCUGAACUGGAAUAUGCUUAACUCCCCGGCAAUCCUACAAUCUAAACUAGAUGCCCUCAAUCUUACACAAAUUAUCAACGAACCCACCAGGUACAACCCUAAAUCCGUAAACAUGGGCACCCUCAUAGAUAUUAUCCUGACCAACUUGCCCUCCAAAUACAUCUCUGCUGUUUUCAAUCAGGAUAUCAGCGAUCACUGCCUCCUUGCCUGCAUCCGCUAUGGGUCAGCGAUGAAACGACCACCCGUCAUAACUGUCAAACGCUCCCUAAAACACUUCUGCGAGCAGGCCUUUCUAAUCGACCUGGCCCGGGUAUCCUGGAAGGAUAUUGACCUCAUCCCGUCAGUCGAGGAUGCCUGGUCGUUCUUUAAAAGUAAUUUCCUCACCAUCUUAAAUAAGCAUGCCCCUUUCAAAAUUGUAGAACUAAGAGCAGAUGUUCUGAAAGAGCUGCAAAACCUGGACCCGUACAAAUCAGCUGGGCUAGACAACCUUGACCCUCUCUUUCUAAAAGUAUCCGCCGCCAUUGUUGCAACCACUAUUACCAGUCUGUUCAACCUCUCUUUCAUAUCGUCUGAGUUCCCCAAAGAUUGGAAAGCUGCCGCGGUCAUCCCCCUCUUCAAAGGGGGUGACACUCUAGACCCAAACUGUUAUAGACCUAUAUCCAUCCUGCCCUGCCUUUCUAAAGUCUUCGAAAGCCAAGUUAAUAAACAGAUCACUGACCAUUUCGAAUCCCACCGUACCUUCUCCGCUGUGCAAUCCGGUUUCCCGAGCUGGUCAUGGGUGCCCCUCAGCCACGCUCAAGGUCGUAAACGAUAUCAUAACCGUCAUCGAUAAAAGACAGUACUGUGCAGCCGUCUUCAUCGACCUGGCCAAGGCUUUCGACUCUGUCAAUCACCGCAUUCUUAUCGGCAGACUCAACAGCCUUGGUUUCUCAAAUGACUGCCUCGCCUGGUUCACCAACUACUUCUCAGAUAGAGUUCAGUGUGUCAAAUCAGAGAACCUCUUGUCCGGACCUCUGGCAGUCUCUAUGGGGGUACCACAGGGUUCAAUUCUCAGGCCGACUCUUUUCUCUGUAUAUAUCAACGAUGUCACUUUUGCUUCGGGUGAUUCCCUGAUCCACCUCUACGCAGACGACACCAUUCUGUAUACAUCUGGCCCUUCUUUGGACACUGUGUUAACAAACCUCCAAACGAGCUUCAAUGCCAUACAACACUCCUUCCGUGGCCUCCAACUGCUCUUAAACGCUG
rnacentral:lncRNA from 1 species